UAGCUAGUUGGUGGGGUAAGGGCCUACCAAGGCGACGAUCGGUAGCUGGUCUGAGAGGAUGACCAGCCACACUGGAACUGAGACACGGUCCAGACUCCUACGGGAGGCAGCAGUGGGGAAUAUUGGACAAUGGGGGCAACCCUGAUCCAGCAAUGCCGCGUGUGUGAAGAAGGCCUGAGGGUUGUAAAGCACUUUCAGUGGGGAGGAGGGUUGAUAGGUUAAGAGCUAAUUAACUGGACGUUACCCACAGAAGAAGCACCGGCUAACUCCGUGCCAGCAGCCGCGGUAAUACGGAGGGUGCGAGCGUUAAUCGGAAUUACUGGGCGUAAAGGGUGCGUAGGUGGUUGAUUAAGUUAUCUGUGAAAUUCCUGGGCUUAACCUGGGACGGUCAGAUAAUACUGGUUGACUCGAGUAUGGGAGAGGGUAGUGGAAUUUCCGGUGUAGCGGUGAAAUGCGUAGAGAUCGGAAGGAACACCAGUGGCGAAGGCGGCUACCUGGCCUAAUACUGACACUGAGGCACGAAAGCGUGGGGAGCAAACAGGAUUAGAUACCCUGGUAGUCCACGCUGUAAACGAUGUCAACUAGCAGUUGGUUAUAUGAAAAUAAUUAGUGGCGC
rnacentral:rRNA from 1 species